ACUCCUACGGGAGGCAGCAGUGAGGAAUAUUGGUCAAUGGGCGCAAGCCUGAACCAGCCAAGUAGCGUGAAGGAUGAAGGUUCUAUGGAUUGUAAACUUCUUUUAUAAGGGAAUAAACCCACCUACGUGUAGGUGUCUGUAUGUACCUUAUGAAUAAGGACCGGCUAACUCCGUGCCAGCAGCCGCGGUAAU
rnacentral:rRNA from 1 species